CAAAGGCCGUGGAGUGGCACGACAAUUCCUUGUGACUUGGUGGAUCGUCGGUUAUUCUCUGCGUGCACAAAAAUCACCAUUGGGAAUGGCGAACGCGCUAGAUUUUGGACGGAUCGAUGUCUCCAAGGGGACUCGCCAGCUCAGCUAGCUCCGGAUCUUUUCAAGCUUGCUCGACGGAAAAAUCUAUCUGUGAAGGAGGGCCUUCAGGCCAACCGCUGGAUGAAGGGACUGCAACGGCUUGAUAGUGAGGAUAUGCCGGAUCAGUUCUUACAUCUCUGGGAACUACUCCAGCCGGUGUCUCUCAGUGAUAGCCAAGACGGGAUCCAAUGGACUUUGACGACUGAUGGAUGCUAUUCUGCUGCAUCUGCCUAUGAUUUUCAGUUUCUAACUAGGACUCCCCAACCCCUUCUGCAUGCAACAUGGAGAAUCAAGGCGGAACCAAAGGUCAAAUUUUAUCUUUGGUUAUUGCUCCAGAACCGCAAUUGGACUGUUGAUCGCCUUUCUACCAGGGGAUGGCCACACAAUGAUUUCUGCACCCUCUGUGACCAAACCAUCGGUCAGCGGCUCACAUCUCCCUGGCCUGUCCUUUUGCUCGGGAAGUUUGGCACUCCUUUCGCAGUAAUGCCGAGAGGGCUGCUGCUAUUGGCUCAACAUAUCUAUCUCCUCAAGGAAUGGUGGAGGAAGACCAUUGGUAUUGGGAAGACGCUGGACUCGCACAAGCAGAUCACCACAGCGGCCUACGUCGUUUGGAACCUUUGGAAGGAGCGCAGCCGACGUACCUUCGAGGGGAAAAGAUGCUCGCCUGAAACUGUCGCCGCCAUGGCCAGAGAGGAGACUUCACUUUUUUGGGCGGCAAACAACUGA
rnacentral:rRNA from 1 species